rnacentral:rRNA from 1 species
GAUGAACGCUGGCGGCGUGCUUAACACAUGCAAGUCGAACGGGAUCCAGGCAGCUUGCUGCCUGGUGAGAGUGGCGAACGGGUGAGUAAUGCGUGACCGACCUGCCCCAUACACCGGAAUAGCUCCUGGAAACGGGUGGUAAUGCCGGAUGCUCCGACUCCUCGCAUGGGGUGUCGGGAAAGAUUUCAUCGGUAUGGGAUGGGGUCGCGUCCUAUCAGGUAGUCGGCGGGGUAACGGCCCACCGAGCCUACGACGGGUAGCCGGCCUGAGAGGGCGACCGGCCACAUUGGGACUGAGAUACGGCCCAGACUCCUACGGGAGGCAGCAGUGGGGAAUAUUGCACAAUGGGCGCAAGCCUGAUGCAGCGACGCCGCGUGCGGGACGACGGCCUUCGGGUUGUAAACCGCUUUUGAUCGGGAGCAAGC